ACUCCUACGGGAGGCAGCAGUGGGGAAUAUUGCACAAUGGGGGAAACCCUGAUGCAGCCAUGCCGCGUGUGUGAAGAAGGCCUUCGGGUUGUAAAGCACUUUCAGUAGGGAGGAAGGUAGUGUAGUUAACACCUGCAUUAUUUGACGUUACCUACAGAAGAAGCACCGGCUAACUCCGUGCCAGCAGCCGCGGUAAUACGGAGGGUGCGAGCGUUAAUCGGAAUUACUGGGCGUAAAGCGCAUGCAGGCGGCCUGUUAAGUCAGAUGUGAAAGCCCGGGGCUUAACCUCGGAAUUGCAUUUGAAACUGGCAGGCUAGAGUCUUGUAGAGGGGGUAGAAUUUCAGGUGUAGCGGUGAAAUGCGUAGAGAUCUGAAGGAAUACCAGUGGCGAAGGCGGCCCCCUGGACAAAGACUGACGCUCAGAUGCGAAAGCGUGGGAGCAAACAGGAUUAGAUA
rnacentral:rRNA from 1 species